rnacentral:rRNA from 1 species
AUUGAACGCUGGCGGCAUGCCUAACACAUGCAAGUCGAACGGUAACAGGUAUUCUGCUGCUGGCGUGUGGCGCACGGGUGAGUAAUACACCGGAACGUGCCCGUUCGUGGGGGGUAUCGAGGCGAAAGCUUUGCUAAUACAGCACACGAUCUACGGAUGAAAGCGGGGGAUCUCCGGACCUCGCGCGCUCGCAGCGGACGAUGGCAGAUUAGGUAGUUGGUGGGAUAAAAGCUUACCAAGCCGACGAUCUGUAGCUGGUCUGAGAGGAUGAUCAGCCACACUGGAACUGAGACACGGCCCAGACUCCUACGGGAGGCAGCAGUGGGGAAUUUUGGACAAUGGGCGAAAGCCUGAUCCAGCCAUGCCGCGUGCAGGAAGAAGGUCUUCGGAUUGUAAACUACUUUUAGACGGAACGAAAAGCAUUAUGCUAAUAAAGAGGGGUCAUGACGGUACCGUAAGAAUAAGCACCGGCUAACUACGUG